GCACUGCUGAGGUGUCCCACAAUAGGAUGAAACAAUUGUCUAGUGC
rnacentral:hammerhead_ribozyme from 1 species